ACCGAUCAUCACCAAGGUGUUUAAUGAUCCCAUCCAUGGUAGCAUAGAGUUACUCCCACUCCUCAUCAAGAUCAUUGACACACCUCAGUUCCAGAGACUUCGAUUCAUAAAGCAGCUUGGAGGUGUCUACUUUGUUUACCCUGGAGCGUCUCACAGCCGCUUUGAACACUCGAUCGGGGUGGGAUACUUAGCAGGAAAACUUGCUGAGGCUCUCAGGUCAAGGCAGCCGGAUCUCAAAAUCGAUGACAGAGAUGUCCUUUGUGUUCAGAUUGCUGGCCUCUGUCAUGACCUGGGUCAUGGACCCUUUUCCCAUCUGUAUGAUGGACUGUUCCUCCCCAAAGCACUG